rnacentral:rRNA from 1 species
AUUGAACGCUGGCGGCAGGCUUAACACAUGCAAGUCGAACGAGUGGCGGACGGGUGAGUAAUGCAUGGGAAUCUAGCUUAUGGAGGGGGAUAGCUACGGGAAACUGUUGCUACUACCGCGUACCAUAGGAUGAGUCCAAGUGGGUUUAGGUAGUUGGUGAGGUAACGGCUCACAAAGACGCGGAUCUCUAGCUGGUCUGAGAGGAUGACCAGCAAAACUUGGACUGAGACGCGGCCCAGACUCCCACGUGAGGCAGCAGUGGGGAAUAUUGCGCAAGGGGGGGAAGCUGAUGUAGCCAUGCCGCGUGAGUGAAGAAGACCUUCGGGUUGUAAAGUACUUUACGUAGCGAGGCGUUAACUACAGAAUAAGCACCGGCUAACUCCGUGCCAGCAGCCGCGGUAAUUC